rnacentral:lncRNA from 1 species
AGGUAGGUGAGUGAUUUCAUACUAAAUCUCAUUUUACCCUUACCCUUACAUGCAUUUCGGACUUCAAAAGUGGGAGUGAAGUUAUGGAAAUUUUUGAAAACAUCUGUGAUCACAAUUGUGAGACCGUCCAUGAAGAUACAGCAUAUAGAGGCUGAGGAAUUUGCUCCAGAACAGGUGCCCCAAGGAAUAAGAAAGUGCAACUUUAAAAGCUUAGUGGGGCCUCCACAUUUUUAUACGUGUUUGCGUGGGACGCAUGGUAUUAUUCUGUCCAGAAUUCCAGUCUUCACUGUGUGAGGUAUUUGGUCCCUCUUGGUCCUGUUGGUAAUGGUUACUAUCAAGAGGAAGAUAAAGACAAGAAGGAAGAAGUCCUUUGUCAAAGAAUGAG